rnacentral:rRNA from 1 species
GAUGAACGCUGGCGGCGUGCCUAAUACAUGCAAGUCGAGCGAAGCGGGGACGGGUGAGUAACACGUGGAUAACCUCCUAUAAGACUGGGAUAACUUCGGGAAACCGGAGCUAAACCGGAUACUUAUCGAUGGAUCAGCGCUGCAUUAGCUAGUGGGUAAGGUAACGUCUUACCAAGGCAACGAUGAAUAGCCGACCUGAGAGGGUGACCAGCAACACUGGAACUGAGACACGGUCCAGACUCCUACGGGAGGCAGCAGUGGGGAAUCUUCCGCAAUGGGCGAAAGCCGGACGUAGCAACGCCGCGUGAGUGAUGAAGGUCUUCGGUUCGUAAAACUCUGUUAUUGAGGAAGCGGUACCUAAUCAGAAAGCAACGGCUAACUACGUGCCAGCAGCCGCGGUAAUAC